rnacentral:rRNA from 1 species
CAGUAGCCGCGGGAAUACAGAGGGUGCAAGCGUUAAUCGGAAUUACUGGGCGUAAAGCGCGCGUAGGUGGUUUGUUAAGUUGGAUGUGAAAUCCCCGGGCUCAACCUGGGAACUGCAUUCAAAACUGACUGACUAGAGUAUGGUAGAGGGUGGUGGAAUUUCCUGUGUAGCGGUGAAAUGCGUAGAUAUAGGAAGGAACACCAGUGGCGAAGGCGACCACCUGGACUAAUACUGACACUGAGGUGCGAAAGCGUGGGGAGCAAACAGGAUUAGAUACCCCUGUAGUCCCUGUCUCUUAUAC